rnacentral:rRNA from 1 species
UACGGGGGGGGUAAGCGUUGUUCGGAAUUACUGGGCGUAAAGGGCUCGUAGGCGGCCAACUAAGUCAUACGUGAAAUCCCUCAGCUUAACUGGGGAACUGCGUGUGAUACUGGAUGGCUUGGAUUUGGGAGAGGGAUGCGGAAUUCCAGGUGUAGCGGUGAAAUGCGUAGAUAUCUGGAGGAACACCGGUGGCGAAGGCGGCAUCCUGGACCAAUAGUGACGCUGAGGAGCGAAAGCCAGGGGAGCAAACGGG